rnacentral:lncRNA from 1 species
UCGAAAACAAGAUAAAACUGUGACCCUUUUCCCCUUUAGCUUUAAUCCUCCAAAAAAAACAUCAAAAUUCCAUUUUUCUUUUUGGUUUUUUCGCUGAAUCCAUGGCAGGAUUCUUUUUUCGCCAUUUUUCGCGGCUCAGCUCUCAAAUCAUGGUUAGGUUUCUCUCUCUUGAAUUUCUGUUUGAGUAGUUUUUUUUUUUUUGUUCCGUCUUUAGAGUGAUAGAUUUUUAUCAGAAUCUAUCUCUUCUUCAAUUUUUAAUAUAAAAAAGUAUUGAUUCAAUCCUAGAGAGGUAGUGAAACUAAUUGUAUUAAAUACUAAAAGCUGAAUUUGCUGGUUUUUCAAACAGGGUCGUUACCUGAGAGCUAUGAGACUUAGAUUGGGAAGGAAGCGAAGGGUUAAUAGGCGCCGGAGACAAUCACUGAGAGCUAUGCAAAGUGCAGCUGCAGAGAUCGAGCGGCAGAUUUGGAAGAUGAGGGUUGAGAACGAGC